GCAUUAGUUAGUUGGUGGGGUAAAGGCCUACCAAGACAAUGAUGCAUAGCCGAGUUGAGAGACUGAUCGGCCACAUUGGGACUGAGACACGGCCCAAACUCCUACGGGAGGCUGCAGUAGGGAAUCUUCCACAAUGGGCGAAAGCCUGAUGGAGCAACGCCGCGUGUGUGAUGAAGGCUUUCGGGUCGUAAAGCACUGUUGUAUGGGAAGAACAGCUAGAAUAGGGAAUGAUUUUAGUUUGACGGUACCAUACCAGAAAGGGACGGCUAAAUACGUGCCAGCAGCCGCGGUAAUACGUAUGUCCCGAGCGUUAUCCGGAUUUAUUGGGCGUAAAGCGAGCGCAGACGGUUGAUUAAGUCUGAUGUGAAAGCCCGGAGCUCAACUCCGGAAUGGCAUUGGAAACUGGUUAACUUGAGUGCAGUAGAGGUAAGUGGAACUCCAUGUGUAGCGGUGGAAUGCGUAGAUAUAUGGAAGAACACCAGUGGCGAAGCGGCUUACUGGACUGUAACUGGACUGUAACUGACGUUGAGGCUCGAAAGUGUGGGUAGCAAACAGGAUUAGAUACCCUGGUAGUCCACACCGUAAACGAUGAACACUAGGUGUUAGGAGGUUUCCGCCUCUUAGUGCCGAAGCUAACGCAUUAAGUGUUCCGCCUGGGGAGUACGACCGCAAGGUUGAAACUCAAAGGAAUUGACGGGGACCCGCACAAGCGGUGGAGCAUGUGGUUUAAUUCGAAGCAACGCGAAGAACCUUACCAGGUCUUGACAUCCUUUGAAGCUUUUAGAGAUAGAAGUGUUCUCUUCGGAGACAAAGUGACAGGUGGUGCAUGGUCGUCGUCAGCUCGUGUCGUGAGAUGUUGGGUUAAGUCCCGCAACGAGCGCAACCCUUAUUGUUAGUUGCCAGCAUUCAGAUGGGCACUCUAGCGAGACUGCCGGUGACAAACCGGAGGAAGGCGGGGACGACGUCAGAUCAUCAUGCCCCUUAUGACCUGGGCUACACACGUGCUACAAUGGCGUAUACAACGAGUUGCCAACCCGCGAGGGUGAGCUAAUCUCUUAAAGUACGUCUCAGUUCGGAUUGUAGUCUGCAACUCGACUACAUGAAGUCGGAAUCGCUAGUAAUCGCGGAUCAGCACGCCGCGGUGAAUACGUUCCCGGGUCUUGUACACACCGCCCGUCACACCAUGGGAGUUUGUAAUGCCCAAAGCCGGUGGCCUAACCUUUUAGGAAGGAGCCGUCUAAGGCAGGACAGAUGAC
rnacentral:rRNA from 1 species